CUAACAUUGUCUGCUCACAGGACAAUGUCAAAUCUGAAUAGCGGCUUUGUUGGAACUGAUCUCAAUAUGCACAUGUAAUGCUGACAGACCCUGGUCAUCAGCGAGCAGGAUCAAACCCAGGGACCUCUGGAGCUUAGUGCAUGAGCCUCUACAGCAUGAGCUAAAAGCCAGUUGGCUGUUAGCAAAGGCUGUAAAGCAGACUCAUUUUAUCUCUCUCUUUAAGUGGUCUUGGUGCCACUAGAUGGGACAGAACACCACACCCAGAAGGUUAUUUCUUUGUGUUUGCAGCAGCAGAGACCCCAUUCAAAAGUUAAAAAUGUACAGAGAGGAAAUAAGAGCCUACAUGCUGACCCUCAAGCUCGUGGGUUUGACUAGUGUCUUGCUAAAACCAGUCACCAGCUCCACCAUUACUGAUGUCAGCACCAAGUGUGGGAUAAUUAUAGCUCCUCCAGCUGACUGCUGGACCUCUUAAUAUGCCCACAGAGACUGAGGCUCCAACGUCAAAGUCACAUACAGAAAAAUCAUGAGAACAGCCUAAUCCUGAAAUUUCUGCAUAGUAAGACAGCUAGAAGAACUCAAGAUCCAAGGGCCAGGCAUCAAAGAGGGAAUGAACAGGGCCUAUAAGAUGGUUGAGAAAAGAAAAGUUACUACAUUGAAUCUUUACAUCGAUGGUUGGCCAAGAGUUCCUGCACCUUCAGUGUACCCAUCAUGCCACUGACAGAAUGACUCUUUCUUCAAUUGGUGUAUUGUAUUACCUUCAACAAUUCCUCUUACUCAUAUCCUUCUCAAAGAAAGCAUACAUAAAUUGUGUGUCAUUCUGAACUUGAUCUUUUAGGUGCUGAAUAUUCUGGUCCCAAUAUUGCAAAGCACUUAGGAUGGGAUUUUCAGAAGUGCCUAAGGGAGUUAGGCACUCAAUUCCUUUAGAGACUUUUGAAAAUCACUCUUAAGCAAGUAAUUCAUUGUAAGCAUGUGAGCAGUCCCAUUAGCUUCAAUGGUACUACUCACAAAUUUAAAAUUGGGCAUGUGCCCAAGUGCUUUGCUUGGUUGGGACUAGAGUGCUCAGAAUCUGGCAGUAUCAAGCCUUGUAUGAAAUGUUUUGAAAGGAUGCUGGACUUCUGCCCUACCAGCUGGAUUCAGCUACAAAAUCUGAGCAUCGAUCUCUCCAACCACUGGCCACCAUACUUCUCAGCCUCAAACAGUGAGAAAUCUCAAGGCAGACCUGCCAAGUGUUACUUACUGUUGAGAUAAGAUUAAUUCAUUUGUGCUUAAUUUUAUGCCAGUUUUGAAAGUAUUUCACUCUUGUAAUGAAUGUGUUUCAAUGAGACUUUUAAAAUAUCACUCCUCAUUUUUUUAAACCAGAAGCAUUUAAAUUUUUACAGUGUGAAUGAACCUUAAAUGUUUUAGCAAUAACUAAAUCAAAAUGUGAAUGUUUUUGUUCUUUUUAGCUAAUUAAAUACAAAAUAAUAAUAUCUGUAGGGAAGGGAAUGUUGUCUAAAGACUGGAGGAAAAAAUUAGAGUCUGUUCUCAGCAUGACAUUCUGCAUAACCUUGGAUAAAUUAAUUUGCUUCUCUCUGCCUUACUUUCCAUUUGUAAAAUGAAAAUAAUAAAAUGUAUCUAGUCUUAGA